UACGUAGGGUGCAAGCGUUGUCCGGAAUCAUUGGGCGUAAAGAGCGUGUAGGCGGCUCGAUUAGUCGCUGUAAAGUCCAGGGCUCAACCCUGGGAUGGCCGGUGGAAACUGUCGGGCUAGAGUCCGGGAGAGGCGGAGUGGAAUUCCUGGUGUAGCGGUGAAAUGCGCAGAUAUCAGGAGGAACACCAAUGGCGAAGGCAGCUCGCUGGAACGGUACUGACGCUGAGACGCGAAAGCGUGGGGAGCAAACAGG
rnacentral:rRNA from 1 species